rnacentral:lncRNA from 1 species
GAGUAAUAUCUAAAUCCCAAGAUUCAAAGAAAAUAUAAAAAAUCGGGGAAUUCCAUUAAGGAAAUACCAUUUUCAAAUUGUAUCGUCAAUUCUAUUAUCAAAAAUCUUAGAAAAAAAGAAAUGAAUGAUAAAGAAACGAAACAUGGGUAAGAAAGGGGAGUAGAGACCACUCAAUAAAUGAAAUAACUACUAAAGGCUUGGUUUUCUUUUUAGUUAUUUUAGAAUUCUUCAAAUUGAGUUAUGGAGGUAAAAGUAGAAAGAAUUUUAUUUUCACAAAGAAAAUAUGGAAGAAAAAUACUUAAGUCAUUGUUUAAUGGAUUUGAUGAUUUUAUUG